rnacentral:rRNA from 1 species
AUAGCGUAUAUUAAAGUUGUUGCGGUUAAAAAGCUCGUAGUUGAAUCUGUGUCCCACGCUGCCGGUUCACCGCUCGCGGUGUUCAACUGGCAUGAUUGUGGUACGUCCUACCGGUGGGCUUAGCCCCCCAAAAGGGGCGGCCCAACUUGUAUCCCAUCGCGGUGCUCUUCACCGAGUGUCGAGGUGGGCCGGUACGUUUACUUUGAACAAAUCAGAGUGCUUAAAGCAGGCCGUUCUCGCCUGAAUACUGUGUGCAUGGAAUAAUGGAAUAGGACCUCGGUUCUAUUUUGUUGGCUUUCGGAACCCCGAGGUAAUGAUUAAUAGGAACAGAUGGGGGCAUUCGUAUUGCGACGUUAGAGGUGAAAUUCUUGGAUCGUCGCAAGACGGACAGAAGCGAACGCAUUUGCCAAAAAUGUUUUCCUUAAUCAAGAACGAAAGUUAGAGGUUCGAAGGCGAUCAGAUACCGCCCUAGUUCUAACCAUAAACGAUGCCAGCUAGCGAUCCGCCGAAGUUCCUCCGAUGACUCGGCGGGCAGCUUCCGGGAAACCAAAGCUUUUGGGUUCCGGGGGAAGUAUGGUUGCAAAGCUGAAACUUAAAGGAAUUGACGGAAGGGCACCACCAGGAGUGGAGCCUGCGGCUUAAUUUGACUCAACACGGGAAACCUCACCAGGCCCGGACACCGGAAGGAUUGACAGAUUGAGAGCUCUUUCUUGAUUCGGUGGGUGGUGGUGCAUGGCCGUUCUUAGUUGGUGGAGCGAUUUGUCUGGUUAAUUCCGAUAACGAACGAGACUCUAGCCUGCUAAAUAGGCGUACUUACCGGUAUCUCGAAGGCCCCCGGCCUCGGUCGCGGGGUUUUUACUACCGGCGUACAAAUAAAUCUUCUUAGAGGGAC